rnacentral:rRNA from 1 species
UAGUCAUAUGCUUGUCUCAAAGAUUAAGCCAUGCAUGUCUAAGUAAAAGCAACUUUUACCGUGAAACUGCGAAUGGCUCAUUAUAUCAGUACUAAUUUAUUUGAUAGUCCCUUACUACUUGGAUAACCGUAGUAAUUCUAGAGCUAAUACAUGCACUACAGUCCCUGACGCUUGCGGAGGGGAUGUAUUUAUUAGAUCGAAGCCAAUGCGGUGCUUGCACCGGUAUUGUGGUGAGUCAUGAUAAGUUUGCGAAUCGCAUGCCUUCUGGGCGGCGAUGUUUCAUUCAAGUUUCUGCCCUAUCAGCUUUGGAUGGUAGGGUAUUGGCCUACCAUGGCUUUAACGGGUAACGGAGAAUUGGGGUUCGAUUCCGGAGAGGGAGCCUGAGAGAUGGCUACCACAUCCAAGGAAGGCAGCAGGCGCGUAAAUUACCCAAUCCUGACUCAGGGAGGUAGUGACAAUAAAUAACAAUGCCGGGCUUUUCAAGUCUGGCAAUUGGAAUGAGAACAAUUUAAAUCCCUUAUCGAGGAUCAAUUGGAGGGCAAGUCUGGUGCCAGCAGCCGCGGUAAUUCCAGCUCCAAUAGCGUAUAUUAAAGUUGUUGCAGUUAAAAAGCUCGUAGUUGGAUUUCUGGGGCGUCGGAUGGGCCCUCGCCUCACGGCGUGUGUGUCCCGACUCUGAAUGCCCCAUCCUCGGGUGGGUCCCUCUUGGCAUUAGGUUGUUGGGGGGGGGAAGCCCGUCGUUUACUGUGAAAAAAUUAGAGUGUUCAAAGCAGGCUUAGGCCGUUGGAUACAUUACCAUGGAAUAAUGAGAUAGGGCCUUGAUGUUUUAUUUUGUGGGUUUGCACGCCAAGGUAAUGAUUAAUAGGAUAGUUGGGGGUAUUCGUAUUCAAUUGUCAGAGCUGAAAUGCUGGCAUUNAUGGCAGACGANCUACUGCGAAAG